rnacentral:rRNA from 1 species
UACGAAGGGGGGCUAGCGUUGCUCGGAAUGACUGGGCGUAAAGGGCGCGUAGGCGGUUUGUACAGUCAGAUGUGAAAUUCCCGGGCUCAACCUGGGGGCUGCAUUUGAUACGUGCGGACUUGAGUGGGGAAGAGGGUCGUGGAAUUCCCAGUGUAGAGGUGAAAUUCGUAGAUAUUGGGAAGAACACCGGUGGCGAAGGCGGCGACCUGGUCCUUGACUGACGCUGAGGCGCGAAAGCGUGGGGAGCGAACAGG